rnacentral:rRNA from 1 species
UACGUAGGGGGCAAGCGUUGUCCGGAUUUAUUGGGCGUAAAGAGCGUGUAGGCGGCUUUACAGGUCCGUUGUGAAAACUCGGGGCUCAACCUCGAGACGCCGGUGGAAACCGUAAAGCUAGAGUCCGGAAGAGGAGAGUGGAAUUCCUGGUGUAGCGGUGAAAUGCGCAGAUAUCAGGAAGAACACCCGUGGCGAAGGCGGCUCUCUGGGACGGUACUGACGCUGAGACGCGAAAGCGUGGGGAGCGAACAGG